UCCCUCCAUUAGUUCGACAAAAUUUUACUUUGAUGUCGACUAACCCUAGAAAUACAACACACACUCUCUCUCUUCCUCGCCGCACACCCAAUUUUUUGUUAUCUCGCCCUUCCAUUUCUCCCUGCCAUCGCUGGAGACCACCAUUUCUGGCCAUCAAUUCACGACACCGCCACCACCAAUCUAACCAACACCUCAAUACGAUCAAAACCCAAGCCCAGCACCGACUCCUGCCUGUGCACGCGACCCUCCAAUCCACGAUGCUGCUGCUCCUUUACCUUCGUCGAUUUCCGGCCGCCAUCUCGCAACACCUCCACCACCGCUUUGAUUCAUCUUCAAUUCUUCAAUCGCCUCGAACUCAAGUAGCAAAGCAGAUGUCCUCAAAGCUCAAGCAGAUUUCUGGGUUCGAUACUUCGAUUUCAGUUUUUGAUUUCAGAUUCUUCAAGCUGGGUUCGAUUUCGAAUUUCUGGGUAACUUGCUUGGUUUGGCUUUCUUCAAGCUUGGUUCGAAUUGCAUGAUUUGCAUCCCACAGGACCAUUAUUUUACUACCUUUGUCUCAUAUCUUUUCUGCAAUGCCAGAGCUCUAAAGCGGCGAUAAUUUAUGCUUUUUCCAGUUUUCUUCAUAGUUGUUAUUUCUAUCUCUGUGUGAGUGUAACUGUGUAUCAGUAGUUGCUUUGAAAUCAUAGUUGCAUUCAAAGCCCCAGAACAUAUUAUUUGCUGUUUAAGUGUUUGACAGAAUUGACAAAUGGUUCAUUGCAUAAAUUGACAAACUCCUAACUUCACUAUAGUUUAUAAUUAAACUUUUGUGCAGUGUUUUAACUAAUUUGGUUAGUUCUGCAUAUGGAUGAUGUGUUUAGAGAUAGAGAGCAUCAAAAUCGAGAAAGGGAUAGGCCUGAUAGGAAAGUGCCUUUGGAAGUAAAGAGCAUCGCCUAUCUAAUUGUGAGCUUUGAACUCCAAGCUACCCUCUUCUGCCAAAGAAAAUUUGUACAUGUUUUUUUUUUCGUUUUCUUUUUAACACACACUUAUCUCUACAGUAGGGACUGUUUGAUGUUUUACUGAUAUUUGUGAUGAUUAUUUAGUGAUAGAAGAACAAUGUUCUCCAUCAAAUAAGUGAGGCAAAAGCAUUGCUUGCUUCACUAGAUGAGAACUCCGAGGCAUUGGCUUUUAUCAUUGAUGAGAAUUCACUUGCUUACGCCUUAGAGGCUACUUUGUGCAGCUUCACCUCUAUCUCAAAAGUCCAAGUCAGUUAGCAACGACGACAAAAAAGUGAACAAUAACUUGGUCUCCUGUGUGUCACAAAGUUCUGGAACAGUGUGCACUCAGAUUUUUGUAAUCUUUCAAAUUCAGUUAUGGCACUUGAUAUGCAGUCCAGAAGAGCAAAGAGAUUAUUAGAAUAGCAUGAUGGUGAGAAUUGUAAAGGUGAAGAAGAAGUGCAAGCAAUGGACAAUUGUCACGGACUUUGUCCGCUGAUAGCUGAAACUGGAAAUAUUGGUCUUGCUAUGCAAGCAAUGCAUCAGAGUAAAUCAAUGAAAUGAUCAACCACUUAUGGGAAAUUUUGUAUCAAACUGCUCAAGGCUUUGAACUGAGAUGGUGGAAAUGAAAGGCAAUGUGCAGCCAUUGGGAGAUCAAGCUUGGAACACCCAGCAAGUUGUAUUAUUAUUUAUCAUCAUGUAAACCUUAUGAAAUUAGAGAGCCUGUUAAGCUAAUGAAAUGGAUUAAUGCUUUAUGAAAUUGCCUUUGUUGGAUCUAUUGGAAUUUAUUAUGAAAGUUGCUUUUAGUAAAA